AUGAGCGUUCGAAUGGGAAAACGUGUCAGCAAUUAUCGGAUUUUAAGGUAAGGGAUGGAGUUAACCGUUAAAGCACCAGGUAAGCAGGUAGUUUUUAAUAAAAUAAGCUUAGUAUGUUAUUUGAAGUGCUAUAUCAUUUUUGUAAAUUAUGGUAUUUAACUGUGUUGUAUUAGGCUUAAUUUUUUACCUCCCUUGAAGGCUUGAGAAUGUCGAAGUUGACAUUUUUAUUUUAUGUAAAAUGGUCACAAACAUUGUAUUAAAUAAAAAUAAACAGGAAAAACGCCGUUACUUGGUAAUUAAAACGGAACAGCAACAUGCAUAUAAUACAUUGAGGAUGGUUGUCAUUUGUAAUCUUUGGAAAAUCAGGAGGCAUUGUCCUGGGUUGGGAACAUACUGGCCAUUUUACACUCUAGUGAAUAUGAGGAUUUAGGAAUUGUUUACCAAGUAUAUUUAGAAAACAGAUGCUUAUGAGAUAAAUAAAGGAUGAGGUGGAAGAAAAAAAAGAAUGGAAAGAAAAAAAUGUGACAAAAACACACAUAUGAUAGUAAUUGGAUGAAAUGGUAAUGGAGUGGUGUGGCAUUACUAUUGUUUAAAACUUUUUAGGAUUAUAUUUAUUAAUUUGCACACUUCUUUAAGAUGUGGUGUUGACGUUGUAAAUAUAAUUGUUAUAAUAGUAAGGCUUGAACUUUGUGUAUUGAAUACACUUAAAUACUGUUCUCUUUGUGUUUGGAAGAAGGGGCAAAAUAGAAGGUAAUGUUCUUCACUUCCAACCUGGUCAUUUGUACAUUUUGUGCAUUUUCUUUCGGUGCACGGGGUGCUAUCUUAUCUGCCUGUUUCGACUGGGAGGUUAUGGUUGGCUGUUCUGAUUUUGAAAAGGGUGCUUCGCUCACGCUGAGAUCCGUAGCUCAGGAUUGGAAGCACAGUGUGGUCGAAAAGCUUUAUAAUGAGGUCGAUUGGGAGGCUUGAGUUGUUUGCCCUUGUGAAAAGGAACGUUUGAAGUGCUGUGUUGUGAAAAAUGGACUGUAAUUUGCUGGUUAUGAAUUCAACUGUUUCUGUGGAUUGAGGGUUACACAAGGCGCCUCUCCCCCUUGUGCCUAUUUUGGAGAGUUCGAGGGAUUUUCACAGUUCGCGUUUUGGUGAUGAACAUUGUUUCCAUCCGUGUUAGUGUUAACAGUUUGGGGAGUUCUGGAAUUAACACGUGUUGAAGAUCGAUUAGUGUUUGCGUGGGUAUUUGUUGACGUUGAUGCCCAUGGGCGCUGGAAAGCAGAUUCCCCCGAGGCAGACGAUCUUUGACUAAUCGGGGCAUGUGUGCGUCUUCUUGCUGGAGCAAGAGAUUCAGACUUUCAAUAAGUGAAUUUGGAUCGACAUACUGUUUCGAGUUCUUAUGAAGAUUGGUGAUGUUUCUCACUUGAUAUGUUAACAAUUACAAAUAGAUUGCGACCGCUUCUACAAUAAUAAUAAAAAAUACAUGCCCUGGUUGUAAGGUCUGUCAGACAAAUGACAUUUUGCGGGUUUUGUGGGUGGAUGUCGUGUAUGAUGUUAAAAAUAGGUUCAAACUAUCGAUUGAGAAUAUUCUUACAGCAGACGUUAUGCUGUUAAAUCAUAAUUUAAAUAUAGGUGCAGGAAUAACAUAUCGUUUAAAAUGCGAUGAAAAUUUAUUAAUCUGGAGCACGGCUCAGUGCUGAAGAGUUAAAUUCCCGGAAAAUGCAAUUUUUGGUUACAUUUGACUCAUUUUGAUGCUUUCAAAAAACGAUAGUUUUCGUUUGUGAAUACAGUUUAUGAUAUUGAUAAAAAACGAAAGCAAGACCAUUUAUGUGGUUGCUAGUUCUUUGUAUUGAUUUCUUCAGGCUCCAUGUUGUAAGGUGAUGAGUAUCAUAUUUCACUUCAAGUAUUCAUGCUAUCCUGGGUUUCGUGAUUGUAAACUAUAUUUUCUUCACUCAUAUAAUUGUUUUAACCUUUUGAUAUCCAUACCCUUAGAAAGAGGUCGCUUGCA